rnacentral:lncRNA from 1 species
GAAAAAGUUACCUAGAUUUAUUUUUGAAGGCUUGAUUAAAAAAGAGCAUACCUAGCACUAGGCCACUAGGCUCUUGUCACAAGAUAUAGGGGGAUUGGCCAUUAGGCACUUGAAAAUGCGGGAUAUGAGGAGAUCAACAGACACAGCCUUAAAACUAAUAUAGAGAUGCUGUUUCCGCAACUUGAACCUAAUCUCCUAGGAGCAACCUUUCCAUAGUACCAAGGCCCGCCCUUGGUACUAUUUUUGAAGACUUGAUAUGUUGGCCAAAUCAAUUUAAUAAUAUUACUGUUCCAUUAAAUUAUUUUAAUGAGCCACUUUCUUCAACGAAAUUGAGAGUUUGGUUAGUGGUAAAGGACUGAAAUUGUACACUAGUAUGUUGGAUUAUCAGAUAGAAUCAGAUAAUUCCAAUCUAAGACUCUUUUGAACCAAUCCUAAUUUUAUUUUUCGGCAAAACUACAUAAAAUGCCUUAUCUAGGAAACUAGUGUCAAGUCUAAGGGUCAAAUCAGGUCAGCUAUUCAU